UACGAAGGGGGGCUAGCGUUGUUCGGAAUUACUGGGCGUAAAGCGCACGCAGGCGGAUUGAUAAGUCAGGGGUGAAAUCCCGGGGCUCAACCUCGGAAUUGCCUUUGAUACUGUCUGUCUUCGAGUUCGGGAGAGGUUGGCGGAAUUCCUAGUGUAGAGGUGAAAUUCGUAGAUAUUAGGAAGAACACCAGUGGCGAAGGCGGCCAACUGGCCCGAUACUGACGCUCAUGUGCGAAAGCGUGGGGAGCAAACAGG
rnacentral:rRNA from 1 species